rnacentral:rRNA from 1 species
ACCUACGGGGGGCAGCAGUGAGGAAUAUUGGUCAAUGGCCGAGAGGCUGAACCAGCCAAGUCGCGUGAGGGAUGACGGCCCUACGGGUUGUAAACCUCUUUUGCCGGGGAGCAAAGAGCGGGACGCGUCCCGCCUCGAGAGUACCCGGAGAAAAAGCAUCGGCUAACUCCGUGCCAGCAGCCGCGGUAAUACGGAGGAUGCGAGCGUUAUCCGGAUUUAUUGGGUUUAAAGGGUGCGCAGGCGGAAGCGCAAGUCAGCGGUAAAAUUGUGGAGCUCAACUCCAUCCAGCCGUUGAAACUGGUGAU